UACAGAGGUGGCAAGCGUUGUUCGGAAUUACUGGGCGUAAAGGGCGCGUAGGCGGUCCGAUAAGUCCCGUGUGAAAGCCCCCGGCUCAACUGGGGAACUGCACGGGAAACUGACGGACUUGAGUUCGGGAGAGGGAAGCGGAAUUCCGGGUGUAGCGGUGAAAUGCGUAGAUAUCCGGAGGAACACCGGUGGCGAAGGCGGCCAUCUGGACGAUUACUGACACUGAGACGCGAAAGCGUGGGUAGCAAACAGG
rnacentral:rRNA from 1 species